GACGAACGCUGGCGGCGUGCUUAACACAUGCAAGUCGAACGGAAAGGCCCUGCUUUUGUGGGGUGCUCGAGUGGCGAACGGGUGAGUAACACGUGAGUAACCUGCCCUUGACUUUGGGAUAACUUCAGGAAACGGGGGCGAAUACCGGAUAGGAGCUCCUGCUGCAUGGUGGGGGUUGGAAAGUUUCGGCGGGUGGGGAUGGACUCGCGGCUUAUCAGCUGGUUGGUGGGGUAGUGGCUUACCAAGGCUUUGACGGGUAGCCGGCCUGAGAGGGUGACCGGACACAUUGGGACUGAGAUACGGACCAGACUCCUACGGGAGGCAGCAGUGGGGAAUAUUGCACAAUGGGCGGAAGCCUGUUGCAGCAACGCCGCGUGCGGGAUGACGGCCUUCGGGUUGUAAACCGCUUUCGCCUGUGACGAAGCGUGAGUGACGGUAAUGGGUAAAGAAGCACCGGCUAACUACGUG
rnacentral:rRNA from 1 species